rnacentral:lncRNA from 1 species
GGACAAAAUGUUACUAUUGACUGAGGUAUUUUUCACAGGAUGAUUGAAUAAAAAACUCAACUUGCGUUUUCAUUGUGGGUGUUUAGAGAAAUUACACAAAAUUCAAACUGUGAAGGUUUAUGCCUCAUUAAUUAGAACUGUACUUCUUCAUUUUCUGACUCUCCUAAUUUCCUGAUGGGCUAGAUGAGAAUCUUCUAUAUCAAGUAAAAUAAAAGGGUUAAUGAUAGAAUAUCAGAGUAAAUUUGGUAUCAAGUCUAAGAAUCUGAAUCAGUGAAGCAUAGAGUGCUCUGGGUUUUUGCAUAUUUUCUUGGGUCACAAUGACAGGCUUCUAAGUUUUUUCCCUUUUCAAGCCUCUGCAAGGGAAAUGGCAGCAGAUACUCUGUGUUUCAUCUUCCUGCUAUGUGAAUGUGGAAAACUUUGAAAUCUUAUUAGUCUUGGGUCCCCUAAAGUCAUACGCCUCAAACAUGCCUGCUUCUGAUGAAACGUACUUCGGAGAUAGAAGGGGCUCAAAAAGUUUAAAUCCCAAGAUCCCUGGGCCAGAAGUGCAAUGCUAGUUAGAUUUCAAUGAAAUUUGUAUCGUGUAAACAAUUGUUUGGACCAGAAAUAUCAUCAGGUUCUUUCUGGCCUAAACUUUCAAAAGCAAACACGCAGAAUCUGAAAAGUUAAUUAUCUUUCCAUUAUAAUGGUGUGAUAUACUCUGUAUGGGUACCAAAAUGAGCUUCUCUCUUCAAGUAAGAGUUGGAUUUAGAACUUUAAAUAGAGAUCUAAAAAUGUAGAAAAUAUUUUAUAUUCCCUAAUCUAUAUAGCUUAAAAAGGGACAUAUUUUCUUAGCUGAAUAUGAAUACCUCUCAAGCAUAAAUUAGUUCCUCUCAUGUAAAGUAUCUUAUUUUACCAAUCCAUUUCAGGAAAGAGGUUCUGCUGCCUUUAAAGCAGAAAGCUUAUUUUUAUCCCUUUUAUUUGAAUGAGAGAGAUUUGAAAAUUGAAUUAUGUAAAUACUUCAAUGCAUCUGCUAUUAUUUUGUGGAGUUUAUUAAACUACUUUAAAAAAUUGUAUAGUCUAUUUAUUGUAUGUAUGUACAUACAGUCUGAUAACUUAAAACUUAACGUGGAUUCCGUAAAACCUUGACUCAGUCUUGUUUAGACUAUUGAAUAUUGUUUUAACCUUGUGCACUGGACUCUACCUCUGUAUAGGAAGAUUUUCCAUACUCAUUAAUAAGUAUUGAUCUGUAUUAAUUGGUUAUGUUUCUUGCACUAAGGAUUUUUAAAAUUUUGCUGUAAGUGUAGAUUUUAGUUUUACUUUUGCAGUAUGAAUCACUUGACACAUAGGUAUAUACUUUAGGUUUACUUUAUUUUUCUACAUGAUGAUGAAGACUUAAAUUUUGUUCUCUGGUUUGUUCUAAGUUUGCCAAAAAGAAACCCCAACAAUACCCAGUACAGUACCUAUUGGUUAAUCACAGUGACUGUAAUUUGUUUCAAGGUGAUUCAAUGCCCUACAGUUAAAGCCGGAUUGCUAUUUAGGAUGACAUUGUCUUAGUGUAGUUUUUGAAAGGACGGUUCUCAUCAUUAAUGGAGGAUGAAGAAAACCACACAUUUUGUUGACUUUAAUUUUAGAUUUGACUUAAACAACAAUUAAAUCAUUGGGAGAAUAAGUAUAUAUCCAAUAAUUUUUUUUUAUUUGUUUUACCUUUUUUUUUUUUAAACUGGGAAAAGGGAAAGAAGUCAGGGAUUUAAAACCAAAUUAGAGGGCAAGGUGGGAGAUCCUACCAAGAUCCGAGAUGUGCGCCUAUGCCUUAAUGCACUAGGUGAGGCUGGUGUCAGAGCCUCCUACCCAUCAUCUGGCUCCUCUCCUGGGCUGGCUCUCCCGAGCUCCUUCUCGGUCUUUGGCGGGGGCAUCUCCAUCUUGAGGUUGAUCCUUAGCCAAGCUGCAAAGCAGAAUUUUGGGAGUGAGUGAUUUUGAUCCUUUCCGGCUGCUUUUGGUAACCUCUCACCUGGGGCCAUAUUUUACAGCUUUGAAUUUUUUAAACAAUAAAAUAUAAUUCCUGGUUCAUUGUAGGUACUUAAUAAGUGUUAAAUAAAUAAAUAAAUACAUAGAACAAA